rnacentral:rRNA from 1 species
UACGUAGGCAGCAAGCGUUGUUCGGAAUUACUGGGCGUAAAGAGUGUGUAGGCGGUGCUCCAAGUCUGGUGUGAAAUCUCCAAGCCUAACUUGGAAACUGCAUUGGAUACUAUCCGGCUCGAGGAAUGGAGGGGAGACUGGAAUACUUGGUGUAGCAGUGAAAUGCGUAGAUAUCAAGUGGAACACCAGUGGCGAAGGCGAGUCUCUGGACAUUUCCUGACGCUGAGGCACGAAAGCCAGGGGAGCAAACGGG